rnacentral:rRNA from 1 species
UACCAGCACCCCGAGUGGUCGGGACGAUUAUUGGGCCUAAAGCAUCCGUAGCCGGUCAUGCAAGUCCUCCGUUAAAUCCACCUGCUUAACAGAUGGGCCGCGGAGGAUACUACAAGGCUAGGAGGCGGAAGAGGCAAGCGGUACUCAGUGGGUAGGGGUAAAAUCCUCUGAUCCAUUGAAGACCACCAGUGGCGAAGGCGGUUAGCUGGGCAGUUGCUGACACUGAGGCGCGACAGCGUGGGGAGCAAACAGG